AUGAAGCUAUCUCUUUCCUAGUCAUAAACUGUCAGAAACUCACUGAAAUAGACAAUGAAGGCAAACUUUGUACUUUGUGUAAGAAGUGCAUGGUCCCAGAAGUAGCUGCUGAUGCUCUGGGUAAAGAGUGGAAGGCUUAUCCGAUCUAAAUAUGUUGGUAGGAUCAACAACCAGUUUCCCCAUGAAUAAAGGUGUCUUGAACCAAGGCAGAGUACACUUGCUCUUGUGUAAGGUGCAUUCUUGGUAUAGACUGAGAAGGACUGGAGAGGAGACACUCAAGUCUAUUCAUGGAUGCAUUGUGGAUGUCAAGCUGAGUGUUCUCAACUCUGUUAGUUGUAAAAAGAAAGAAAGAAAGAAAGAAAGAAAGAAAGAAAGAAAGAAAGAAAGAAAGAAAGGAAGAAAGAAAGAAAGAAAAAAGAAAAGAAAAGGAAAGGAAAAAAGGAAAAAAAAAAGAAGAGUAUUCCUAGACUGACAAGACACUACUGUCCCUUGGCAGCCGGGACCCAAAAGAGCUAGCAGGAUCUGAAAACAUUUCAAUCUCUCCAUGUCCUGCAACACAAAUGCCAACAUACUGCUCAGAAGACACAACACACUAAGAAAAACACAGAAAAAGAUGUAGAAAAUGCUAAACAUUUAGCCAAGAGGAUGAAGGAAGCUAAAGAAAAAUUCCAGGGACAGAUUGCCAAGAGAUGCAGACUGUCCAUGCUGAGAUCUUCUACUUAUCAGUAUGAGUCCAAUAAAAAUAA
rnacentral:lncRNA from 1 species